CACACACACACACACACACACACACACACACACACCCGAGCGCGCAGGUACUCACACACACACACUCACACUUCCACUUAACAAUUUAGAGUAUUUUGCAAUGUGAUAAUAGUUUUGAGAAAAGGGCUAGGCUUGACCAAAGCACAGACCCUAUGUCAGCAAGACACGAGGGUGAUAAGGGCAAAUGCAGUUCAUGCAAAAUGUUCCCUCUGUUCUAGAAUAUUUUAGAUUAAGUUUGUCCUUUAGUUGUUAAGACUGGAGUUUCUUUGUGUGUUUGACUCUCUCCCUCAAACCUAAACUGGGGCUUGGUUUAAAUGAGCUGGGGACAGUGCUUAAUACUCUUCCCAUAGGUUUAAAUUAUUUACACAGCUCACUUCUAAGAAGCAUAUUUGAAGGAAUAGACCCCCCCCCUUGUUGAGUACACUUUUUAGAGAUGUUAUCUACACCAGGGUCUUAAAGCCUUGCCUUGGGGACUGUUUCCCAUCAAGCAGUAACUUCCACAGAGAAAUGUUAAAGUGCUAAUUAAGUUUCCCUGGGCCUUGGUUUCUCAGUCUGUGAAAUGCAGAGAUCUUCUUCUUUGUCCUUUAUUCUUAGUCUGUGGAGCCACAGAUACAAAGUAUCACAAGUCCUGUAGAGAAAGAGCAGGGGCAAAUUCAAGCCACCUGAAGGAUCAAGAUAAUUAUUUUUUUCAAGUGGGGAGGACAACGGGAGGUUUAUAAAAUGUUUCACUAUCCCACAGAAUUUAUCUUUCAUGCUUUUACACUGUUGCUCUUGCUUGCUUUUUCUAGGGAAACAGAAUUCUGUCUUCAAAAUAGCUCCUCAAUUAAAAAGAAAAAAGUGUAAUAUACCCAGUUAGAGUGUCAUAAAUAUGACUUGAGCCUUAAAAAAAAAAAGUAUAGUAUCCUUGAGAGGAAGAGUGGCUUUAUUUUCUUCUUCAUUUGAUUGGUUAACAUGUCUUCAUUGUAAAUAAUAAUGUAAUUUAGGAUUAUAUUUAUAUAAACAGGAGUUACUGAACUCAAAGUUCAGUAAAAUACAAAUGCAAAAGAAACAGAUUAAUGGUGGAAGUUCAAACACAAGCUGUCAGUCUGUAUUUCACCUGCUACCUUUAGCGACCCCAACAUUGGCAUGACCUCCAUUUGCCCAGAUAGCACGUUAAUUGGCAGCACCACAAAACUACAAGACCAAGAGUUUAAGCCAUUUUGAAGGGGAAGACAUGCUUUCUCUCGAGAGACAGAUAUGAAGGCCCUGCUCCAUGCCUGUUACUAUAACCUCCUAGAUCAGGCAGCUCUUCCUGGAAAGAGAUUCAAAAUCUAUUAUGAGUGUAAUCAUCAUGAAAAAUUUUGAUGAGAACACAGUACCACGCUGAAUAAUAACUUUAAGUAGAAAACCCAACACGGUGGGAUUUUCAUCAGGCCUUCAAGUGUCAGGAGAAAAAUAGUUCCACACUCAGCGAAUAUAGAUAGGUCUGUUUGGGGUUGUGUUCAAUCCAAUUGUGUGUGGGGGGUUGAAUAAUCAGGAGUGACAGCCUAAGCGCUUUCUCUUCGAAGUGAUUUUACAGAAGGCACCAUUUCCGAAGGAGAGUAUGCUCGCAUCUCCGGUAAUGCUGAAAGGGCACUAAUGUAUCAAUUUAUUGGCUCCGGGUGUCACAAAUCAUCCUUGGAUUUUAAGAUUCUCUUACUCACUGCUGCUGUUGGGAAAAGGGGCUUCUCUAGGAUAAAUGAGGCUUCUGAAAGUUCUAGAACACUCCUGCAGUUUCAUGGGUGAGUCUUCAAGGGUCUUCUCGGAAGGUUCUCGCUCACUCUGCAAAGCCAAAGUAAACAUGAUGGAAAAAUAAUCGUCUAGUUUUCCUCAAUAAAGGGAAGGGGAUGGGGAUGGGCAGGGUGGGGGCAGGGAUAAAAAGACGACAAAUUUGAGUUAGGCUAUGUAAUUUCAGCUUCCUUAAAUAAGGCCUUUGGAAAACUUUGGAGAAGCAAGUGUGUGAUUUUGGGCUUGGCUCACAACAUUGAAACUUUUCCCCCUUAAUUUCUACCAAGUUUUUCGUAACAGAUCUCUGCCCUGAACGACGUGUCCCAUCGUUAGGUAAUACCCGUGAUGCAGGCUGCCAAAAUCUCCAGCUACUUUUACUUUCCAGGGGAGGGUUAAAUAGUUCUCUUAAUAACUUGAAAGACAAAAAAAAAAAAGUCAAGGUUCGCCACAGUUCUGAGUCACAAGUUAAAUGUUUUCAACAGUUUGGUUAUUUUUUAGUCUAUUUAGCCCCGAGAGUAUCUCCUAGGAAGAAGAAGCCUGGGAGGCAUUCAAGGUUUAGCUACACUGAAGCGAAGCUAGAACCCCUUUGCUUAUGGCCAUCUGCUCUGUCAGAUGCCAUUUGCCAGCUCCUACUUAGUUCCACUUGUCACCUGUCACCCGUAAAUCAUCUUGGGGACGUCCAGGGUGCUGACUCAUGCAUCUUCUAUUCCCCCACCAUACAUGUUGAGACUCUGUAGAGAGUUAGCCACCGCUCCCCCAGGGGCUUUAACAAAUAUGGACACAUAAAUAACACUGCGUGUGGUUGUAUUUUCUUCACUAUGUAAAGCUACGGGUCAGGUGAGCAGGAAGAGGCAUUUUCAUUAGGAGGGAAACUCGGAAUCAAUGGCUGUGCCAGAUGAAUGGCUCCACCGCUCAGCCCACUCUUUUCAGACUGGGUUGGCAUGGCGCUCCUGUGCCUUCUGCCUGCCCGUUAACCCGAUCCCCUCCCAUACGGACAAUAAAGCAGUGAGCUUUCUCUCAUCUCCUUCAUCCUGGUGGACUACUUACUGUCUGCGCUUUUGCUUUGUGUAUGCACACGUGUAUGUGCAUAUGUGAGUGAGGGUGCACACGCGUGUGCAGGUCUAUGUACACACAUGUGUGUGGAGGUCAGAGGACAACCUCAGGUAUAUGCCAUCCACUUUUGUUUUGAAGAUCGUCUUUCGUUGGCCUGAAAUUUACCUACUGGCUAGGCCGGCUGACCAGCACACUCCAGGAAUGUGGUGUACCUUCGACUGCCUCCUCAGCAAAAGGAUUGCAAACAUGUGCCAACACACCUAACUAUUUUUAAACAUGGAUGCUGGGGGCUGAACUCUUGUGUUUGCAAGGCAAGCACUGUGCUGAGCUCUCAGCUAUGCAGUUAGUUAAUAAGAGAGUGGAUGAGCUCACCUUCCCUGCCAUCUAUGGUUCAGGGCUUUGGGGUAUGUCUUAGGAUGAAUCCCCACUCUCUGUCACCAGGGGAAGGUGACAAGUUUCAAGCCCACAAGCACAUGACCUAUGACCACAGAGAUCCUCACGAGACCUUGCCUGACCUUUCUCUCUGUCUCUUCUCUUCCAGGUAUCUCAGUCACGAAGAAGACACACACAUGGCAGGCAUGGUACAGAGAGCUUCCUUGCACAGCCUUGCCCAUGAGCUCGUCCCUGGCCUGGAGGGACCCACUCUAGAGGUGGUAAGUAAUCCAGUCUUUCUGCUAGCUCCGUCCUGGGCCUCUCCCAAGCAGGGGCUGCUGAUUGUGCCUACUGUUGAUGGUGGUUUGGGGUGUGGACUCCUGGCCACCUAGCAAUACACCAAAAGUGGCAGACAGUUUGCAUUGUGGAUUGGCUCUUAGAUAAGCAGACAAAAGAACCCAGUUCAACUCCAUUAGAUACGAAGAGGACACCUCAACCAAUGAGAUAACAGAAGGCAGAGAGCACAGACGUUAUUGCACAGACAGCUCAUCUACAAAGACAUUCAAGGUAUUGCCAUCACUGAAAAUAAUUUACUGGCAUAUAUAGAAAUUCGUGGAGGGAUUUGGGAGACGGCAGUGAGAGCGCUGACUAGAAAUGGAAAAUUAUACUUUAACAGCAGGCAACUUAACCUGGGAGGCCUUUCCACCAAAGCUUACACAGUUUCAUCUCUGUCAACCUUAAAAGAUAUAGCCAGAACGGUAGUUUCUUUCUAACCUUGAAGGUCAAUCUGGGGUGUCCAACCUUCUGACACCAUUACAUGACAUUGUCAUCUACAAAGUUCACACUGGAAAACCUCUCAGUUCAAUCGAGUUUAUUAUCAUAACGCUUAAGUAAGUUUGUGGUUUUAUAUGGAGCCUCAUUUACAUGACCCUGGAGUGUAUGAGGCCUGAGGGUUGCAGGUUGGACACCCUGGAAGACAUUAAGUAUGAAGUCCCUGCAGAAAAGCUCAGAGCUCGUGAGUGUCCUUGACGGAAAGAUUUAGGUUAAAUGAUGUUGGAAUGUUUGGGGAAGAGUAAGAUGAUAUUUAACUCUUCUGCGUGCUGGAGAUUCUCUAGAAUAAAAGAUCCCCACACCCAGUUGGAAAGAGUAGCAUUCCGACAGCGGAUAUUUAACUCUCGGAGCUGCAUGAGUGUAGAAGUCUUCUGGGCCAUUGGAACACAGAUUGUUUUUGUCACCCAGCUUGACAGAUAGCCCUUGAUGUUUCUGGUCUUAGUGUCUCUACAGGGCCCACAAUGUAUGCGGGAAAAGAAAACCAAUCAGUUCUUUCUCUAAUAGCCAUCAGCCAAAUGAGUUCUUCCUUACAAUCCGUCGGGUUUUACUUGAAAAUGAAAUCGUCCUAACAUGCUUCACCAUUUUCUUUUUUCUUGCUUUUUUUUUUAUAUAAAAAAGAUGUUAAUUUUCAGCCCCUCUUAAGUCCUCUUAACCAUCUGUUCUUCAAGAAGUUUUGCUACCAGUGAAGUGUACGAAGUCGUUUUUGUACUGGCUCAAAGUUUUCACUUUUAGCCAGGGUUCUGGAAACCUUGGUCAAGCCCUGACUGUAUAAUGGUUGACAACUCGAGUCACCCCGCAUUAGUGGUUUCAAUCUGAGCUUCCAAACUGCCCUCCAAAAGAGAUUGUUCAACUUACAAAUUAAUAGGUAGAGUUGCCAAAUAUAUUAUCAGACCAGUGUGUCAGGUCAUAUGUGCACUUCUCAGAGGUGCAAGAACUGUCAAGUGAGCCUCAAUUGUUGUGACACUCAGAUGUGCGUGUACACACACACACGCACGCACGCACGCACGCACGCACGCACGCACGCACGCACACUAUGGUUUGGGGCAAACCAUGCCAUAAGUUUCAUGAAAGAACGUGAGAUCACUAGCCUCCAAGAAGUCCCUGAGCAUAGUCCUCAGAGAAGUCAGGUACUCCCAAGCUCUGGAUGGUGCCUAAAUGUUUUAACUCUACUUGUCUCAGGGGGACAAGUUAAAGCUUGGGGGUUUCUCAUGCUAAGCCACCAUGCCCACUCAAAUUGGCUGAGAAAUUCUUACAUCUGUAACAUUUUUCGAUUGUUGAUAGCAAACGCUGCCAUUAGGUUUUUAGAAUGUGAACGUGAAACAGCAUCUUUACUUGUGGGAUAGGGACAUAUUAGAUCAAUUUCACACUGUGGUGUGGAAUUUCAAUUUCAUUUUCAUGGUGAUUACACAGCUCUGGUUGGACACUUGCAGGAGCACUUUCGCGUUGUUCUCUCCCAGGAUUGUUCUGGCUUCUCAUUCUGAUGAACUAAUACUGGGUAGAUCAGACCUCCCCCGCCCCUUGGAAUCAGCCGCUGUUUAGAUUUCUUAACUGUCAAGGAAAACUAGUCAUUCACUCCUAACUGCCUGACUUCUUAAUUGAACUCUGCUUGGACAGUUCUGCAUUUACUAAAAUGUCAUGCAAGGGCAAAUAUGGAGUUGAAAACCUGCAGUGGGAAGGGGGCCUAAAGGGAUGGCUCGGUGGGUGGUUAAGAGCACUGGCUAUUCUGCUCCUCCAGAGGAUCCAAGUUCGGUUCCCAGCAUCCAUACUGGGUGACUCACAACCACCUUUAACUCCAGCUCCAAGGAAUCCAACACCCUCUUCUGGACUCUGCAGACAGCUGCAUUCUCGAGACAGAAACAUAUCUGCACACACAGAUGAAAAUUAAAAAGAAAAAGAAAACUUGCAACAGGUCAGCUUCCCCCGUUUCUGUGAAGAUUAAUAUCUUAGAAUUGUCACCAAACAAUUAAAAUACAGCCACUACAAGGCAGGCCCAGGGGACAUUUAGAGAGCCCUGAGGUUGCGUCAAUGACACCUGAGCACUGCCAUUUCUUCCUAUUGUCAUCUUUAGCUGUAGUUCUUAGUCUUCCAGUCCAAGGCUGCCUCGCCUCUUUCCUUUACACACAGAGAGGCACAUGUGUCUAGAAAGUACAGGUGACUCAGUGGUAAACAGUCAAAAGUCUGACUUUUUAUCCUCAAGUUGAUUCGUCAACUUUCCAUACAACUCCUCUCCCAAAUACCAACAGAAAUACUGUAUCCAAAUAUUCCAAAAUAUUUUAGUAUUAACACAAAUUGCUACUAACAGAUAAGUUAGUACAUCAUUUUAUGUUUGGUUAUAGCAGGCUAACACCUAAAGUAAAUAAUUAAAGCACUGUAUUAUUUAUAAAUAGAUUCUGAUUCUCAGCAGUCAAAAUAUUUUAGCACAAAACUGAAUAUUUCUUUUAGGUGCUAUCUUUUAUAUUCCUUUUAAAAAGUGUUUAUUGCAUUCAUUUAAAAUAGAAUAGAUUAAUGUAUUCACCUUUCUUCGAUGUAUCUAUAUCUUAUUAUUUCGCAUGUUUGAGUGUUUUGCUUGCAUGCAUAUAAAUGCACCACAUGCUUGCCUUGUGCCCAAGACAGAAGAUGGAUUUGGACCCCCAGGACUGACAUUACAGACAGUUGUGAGCUUUCAUGUGGGUGAUGAGAAUCUACUGCUGGGUGCCCCAGGUCCUCUGCAAGAGCAACGAGUGCUCCUCGUCACCCUUCCAACUCCCAAACCCUGGGUUCACUUGUUUAUUCCAAGAGACACAGCUUUGAAUUUGACUUGAAAAAAAAUGAGUCUCGGGGUCUCUCCCACAAAAUAAACCCAAAAAUUUGUCACAAUUGUUUCUCUCUACUCAGGAGAACCCAAACCCCAAGAAGCCCAUUCUCCAAGGUGUUCUUUUCUGGAAGCCACCCUUUGCUUGUAGAGUCUCAGCAGCCUCAGACUUGAGACCAUUCACAGACCAGAGAAACUCGGGCCAUUCUUGGCAAGACCAUAGGAGGAUGCUUUGGUGAUGGAGCUCAUAGGUUGCCUUGACAACCCAAUUGACUCAAUGAUUAUUAUUUCAAGUGCUAGCUGGAUGUUUCAUCAGGACAUUAAGACAGACAUGAGCCUUCCUUUAGUGGGCCUCCAUUCUCACCAUUUGGCUCAUUGACAAAUAAUCUUAAAAAAAAAAUUUACGUGUGUGCUCAUAAAGUCACUGGAAGGUUCAUUUGCUAGAGCUAUUAGCCAUCCAAGACAUAAAGCUUGAUGACAAUGGGACAUAACCAAAAUGCAAAUGAUCAUGCCUUACCCUGCUCACCCUGUGUUGGCAGGUCCUUUAACCUCAAGGAUUCCAUAAAAUGAGGGACAGAGCUUGGGUCAGAAAGGGAAAGUAAGGGCAAAUAGUCAUAGGAAACAACUUAAGAUGCAAGUAUCAAGUACAUCCACUCCAGAAGAUUCUACUCAUGACCAGAAAGCAAGUUUAGCUGGAAUGUAGGAGAAAGGAAAAGGCUUAGACUUUCUAUACAGGAUCCAAAUACUGUGGUUCAAACAUCUGGGAACAACCAAGUAAAUCCAAGGACUUCACCUGGGACCCUAGAAACAAACGGUCCCUAUUGCUCCUCUCCUUCGUUCUCAUCCUGAACAAUAACUACCCACUCCCUUCAAGAACGACUAGAUGCAAGAAGCCAAGUGUCUGGCAUAGAGUCUGGAAAUGAUUUCAUUGUUUAGAAUCAGUCUGUGAGACUA
rnacentral:sRNA from 1 species